AACGAGCGCAACCCUUGCUUUAAUUGCCAUCAUUCAGUUGGGCACUUUAAAGAGACUGCCGGUGUCAAACCGGAGGAAGUGGGAUGACGUCAAGUCCUCAUGGCCUUUAUGCCCAGGGCUACACACGUGCUACAAUGGGCGGUACAAAGAGCAGCUAACUCGCGAGAGUAUGCAAAUCUCAAAAAACCGUCCUCAGUUCGGAUUGGAGUCUGCAACUCGACUCCAUGAAGUUGGAAUCGCUAGUAAUCGUGGAUCAGCAUGCCACGGUGAAUACGUUCCCGGGCCUU
rnacentral:rRNA from 1 species